rnacentral:rRNA from 1 species
GACGAACGCUGGCGGCGUGCUUAACACAUGCAAGUCGAACGGAAAGGCCCUGCUUUUGUGGGGUGCUCGAGUGGCGAACGGGUGAGUAACACGUGAGUAACCUGCCCUUGACUUUGGGAUAACUUCAGGAAACUGGGGCUAAUACCGGAUAGGAGCUCCUGCUGCAUGGUGGGGGUUGGAAAGUUUCGGCGGUUGGGGAUGGACUCGCGGCUUAUCAGCUUGUUGGUGGGGUAGUGGCUUACCAAGGCUUUGACGGGUAGCCGGCCUGAGAGGGUGACCGGCCACAUUGGGACUGAGAUACGGCGCAGACUCCUACGGGAGGCAGCAGUGGGGAAUAUUGCACAACGGGCGGAAGCCUGAUGCAGCAACGCCGCGUGCGGGAUGACGGCCUUCGGGUUGUAAACCGCUUUCGCCUGUGACGAAGCGUGAGUGACGGUAAUGGGUAAAGAAGCACCGGCUAACUACGUG